CACGUAGGGGGGCGAGCGUUGUCCGGAUUUAUUGGGCGUAAAGAGCUCGUAGGCGGCUCAGUAAGUCAGGUGUGAAAACUCCAGGCUCAACCUGGAGACGCCACCUGAUACUGCUGUGGCUAGAGUCCGGUAGGGGAGCAUGGAAUUCCUGGUGUAGCGGUGAAAUGCGCAGAUAUCAGGAGGAACACCAGUGGCGAAGGCGGGUGCUCUGGG
rnacentral:rRNA from 1 species